rnacentral:rRNA from 1 species
UACGUAGGGGCCUAGCGUUGUCCGGAGUUACUGGGCGUAAAGGGCGCGUAGGCGGUUCCAUGCGUCCCACGUGAAAGCCCCUGGCUCAACCAGGGAGGGUCGUGGGAAACGGGGGAACUGGAGGCAGAGAGAGGCUGGUGGAAUUCCCGGAGUAGUGGUGAAAUGCGUAGAUAUCGGGAGGAACACCGGUGGCGAAGGCGGCCAGCUGGCUCUGACCUGACGCUGAGG